rnacentral:tRNA from 1 species
GCGGGGUUGCCCUAGUCUGGUAGGGGGCAGGCCUGCUAAGCCUGUGGUCCUUUGGGCCGCGCGGGUUCAAAUCCCGCACCCCGCGCCA